rnacentral:miRNA from 1 species
CGGCUAACAUGCAACUGCUGUC